UGGCGACCGGCGCACGGGUGCGUAACGCGUAUGCAACCUACCUGUAACAGGGGGAUAACACUGAGAAAUCGGUACUAAUACCGCAUAACACUAUGAGAGGCAUCUCUUGUGGUUGAAAGUUUCGGCGGUUACAGAUGGGCAUGCGUUGUAUUAGCUGGUUGGUAAGGUAACGGCUUACCAAGGCGACGAUACAUAGGGGGACUGAGAGGUUAACCCCCCCACAUUGGUACUGAAACACGGACCAGACUCCUACGGAAGGCAGCAG
rnacentral:rRNA from 1 species